rnacentral:rRNA from 1 species
GACGAACGCUGGCGGCGUGCUUAACACAUGCAAGUCGAGCGGAAAGGCGCUGAUCUUGUGGGGUGCUCGAGUGGCGAACGGGUGAGUAACACGUGAGUAACAUGCCCUUGUCUUUGGGAUAACUUCAGGAAACUGGGGCUAAUACCGGAUAGGAGAUCCUGAUGCAUGGUGGGGGUUGGAAAGUUUCGGCGGUGGGGGCUGGACUCGCGGCUUAUCAGCUUGAUGGUGGGGUAGUGGCUUACCAAGGCUAUGACGGGUAGCCGGCCUGGGAGGGUGACCGGCCACAUUGGGACUGCGGUACGGCCCAGACUCCUACGUGAGGCAGCAGUGGGGAAUAUUGCACAAUGGGCGGAAGCCUGAUGCAGCAACGCCGCGUGCGGGAUGACGGCCUUCGGGUUGUAAACCGCUGUCGCCUGUGACGAAGCGUGAGUGACGGUAAUGGGUAAAGAAGCACCGGCUAACUACGUG